rnacentral:lncRNA from 1 species
AUUACUGAGACACAGUGAAACCUGCAUGAGUUUGGAUUGGAUGACUUCCAGUUUUGUAUUUUUAUGGUUAUGUUUCACACAGCAUGGUUUCUUGUAUGAUGUAUGCAAGUGAAUUCAGGAAAAUUCUAAGCAAUCUCUGCUGUCCGUCAACCAGUGACAACAAUCAAAAAGCCAUAAAACCUCAGAUGCCUACUCACUGAUAAUGAGGAAGCAGGCCAAAAAAGAGGAGAUAGAAAAACAUUUUUCCAUGUGUCUUGAGGAGUGAGGUGAGUACAUACAAAGAACUAUUGAAUAAAAUAAAUUGUUUAAAUCA